rnacentral:rRNA from 1 species
CCUACGGGAGGCAGCAGUGGGGAAUAUUGCACAAUGGGCGCAAGCCUGAUGCAGCCAUGCCGCGUGUGUGAAGAAGGCCUUCGGGUUGUAAAGCACUUUCAGCGGGGAGGAAGGCGGUGAGGUUAAUAACCUCAUCGAUUGACGUUACCCGCAGAAGAAGCACCGGCUAACUCCGUGCCAGCAGCCGCGGUAAUACGGAGGGUGCAAGCGUUAAUCGGAAUUACUGGGCGUAAAGCGCACGCAGGCGGUCUGUCAAGUCGGAUGUGAAAUCCCCGGGCUCAACCUGGGAACUGCAUUCGAAACUGGCAGGCUAGAGUCUUGUAGAGGGAGGUAGAAUCCCAGGUGUAGCGGUGAAAUGCGUAGAGAUCUGGAGGAAUACCGGUGGCGAAGGCGGCCCCCUGGACAAAGACUGACGCUCAGGUGCGAAAGCGUGGGGAGCAAACAGGAUUAGAUACCCUAGUAGUC